GACCACUCUGGUGGCCUAAUGGUUAGAGCAUCCAGGUUGGAUGUGGGAGGUCGCGGGUUCAAACCACGACCAAGUCA